CCUGGGAAGCUCCGUGUCCCUUGUUCGGGGAUGUGGGAUGGAGGGCACUGUGCUGUUAACAUCCCUGUGGAGCGGGGAGGACCAGCCUGCGCGCGGAGGAGAAGAUGGACUGUUACCUCUCAGAUAAAGAGGUCAUCUGCAGCCUUUUAUCAGAAUCAGAAAGAUGUGACGGGAGGUGCCGGCGAGGACUCGCUCAUCUUGUGGAGCAUCUGGAGAGGAGGGGAAGGCGCGGGACGUGCUGCAGUCUCAGGACAGAAGGAUGGAGGCAGGCCGUGCCUGGUUCAACUCGGAGCCGUGUGCCCGUUCAUGCCGCUAACGCCGUAAGGGACAACACGGGGGUGCCGAGACUCCCCCCUGCACAGGGUUCAACGGGGGCUGUGUGCGGAGGGGUCCUGGCUUGGAAAAGCAUCUGAUCACGCGUUGAAAAUUAUCCUGCAAGAGCUGUUCUCUUGUAAUCCACCAGGAUUUGGGGUUCGCCAUCAGGACGGGCUCAGUUGUUCACGGGGGUCGGUGGCUUCACCUGCUGCCCGCGGCGAUUCCCCGGUUGCCCCAGCAGGAAUCGCCUGGUGUUGCCUCAUUUACUCACGUCUAAUUUUUGUAUCCGCUUUUCCACAUGAACAAUAGCGGUGAAUCGAGCGUCAGUCAUCAGACAGACAUAAUUGGAUUUGGAAAGUGUUAUAUUGUGAAUUAAGUUGACUGAUGGGGAAGUGUCAGUUUUAUUAACAAUCUUCCUUCAGAUGAUAAUUUUAUAUCUAUAAGGAUGAAUUACAAAAGCGUACUUGAAGGCAUCAGUUCAAAACGAUGAAGUCGUUUUAAUAAAGGCUGACUCUUUCUUUCAUGCACUUGUUUUUAAAUAUUUUAUCUCCUUGUGGGAAGCUAUAUCCAAUUAAGAGCCAAAACCGGUGUAAAAAUGCCACAUAAUCACGCGAUUCGUUUGCAUCUGGAGCCCGGGCACGCGGAGCUGCCGGCCGGGCAAGCGCUGGCCAGGGAGCGGCUGGCACCGCGCAGCUUCGCAUCCCGUUCUGCUCUUAUUAACGAGAGCAGAGCGUGGGUUUCCCUUGGCAAACCGAAACACCUUUGCCCUGGGGAAGCUCCCGCUGGCGUGGCCAUGCAGGGAAGCCCCGGAGUGGAGGAAUCGCCACCCACCACUCGUUGGUGAUGGAUUCCAGCUCCAUCCCACAACGCUGCCAGAUCAAAACACAUUUUGCUUCGUUUCCCACCUCUGAACAACUUUUGUUGGGGUGUUGUGUGUUGUCCCCAUAGCUGCGGGGAGAAGAGAAGGGGCUGAAUUCUCAGGGUGGGAAGAGCUGGACAAGUUGUUGUGCUUCACACAAAUGAUCUUUAAGAGGAAUUCACUGCAAUACAGUGCUUAAAUAAACCCGAGGAUUAUACCAGCAUGAAAAACUUGGAGUUUUGCAGUGAAAACCUGUUUCUGUUGAGUAUUGUGCUAAACAGCUGUGUCAGACCCAGGGAAGAGCGAGUGAUGCUCCAGGACACCAGCCCGGGAUGCAGCUGCCGCCCGAACCGCCCGGCGCCGGGAGGGGGCAGGAGGUGUUGGCGUCUCCCCGCGUCCUC